rnacentral:tRNA from 1 species
UCUCUGUUAGUAUAUCGGUUAGUACACGCGCCUGUCAUUCUUCGGUCGCGCGAAAGCGGGGUUCGACUCCCCGACAGAGAG